rnacentral:rRNA from 1 species
GACGAACGCUGGCGGCGUGCCUAACACAUGCAAGUCGAACGGGGAGUUAGCAAUAACUCCUAGUGGCGAACGGGUGAGUAACGCGUAGACAACCUGCCUCUAAACUGGGGACAACACCGCGAAAGUGGUGCUAAUACCGAAUGUGGUAUCUUGAUCGCAUGAUUGAGAUAAGAAAGAUGGCCUCUACAUGUAAGCUAUCGAUUAGAGAUGGGUCUGCGUCUGAUUAGCUAGUUGGUGAGGUAACGGCUCACCAAGGCAACGAUCAGUAGCCGGUCUGAGAGGAUGAACGGCCACACUGGGACUGAGACACGGCCCAGACUCCUACGGGAGGCAGCAGUGGGGAAUCUUCCGCAAUGGACGAAAGUUUGACGGAGCAACGCCGCGUGAGUGAAGAAGGUCUUCGGAUUGUAAAGCUCUGUCGUUUGGGACGAACGUAUCCUGUGUGAAUAAUGCGGGAUAAUGACGGUACCAAAGGAGGAAGCCACGGCUAACUACGUGCCAGCAGCCGCCGUAAGAC